rnacentral:rRNA from 1 species
CAGGCUUAACACAUGCAAGUCGAGGGGCAGCAUGGUCUUAGCUUGCUAAGGCCGAUGGCGACCGGCGCACGGGUGAGUAACACGUAUCCAACCUGCCGUCUACUCUUGGACAGCCUUCUGAAAGGAAGAUUAAUACAAGAUGGCAUCAUGAGUCCGCAUGUUCACAUGAUUAAAGGUAUUCCGGUAGACGAUGGGGAUGCGUUCCAUUAGAUAGUAGGCGGGGUAACGGCCCACCUAGUCUUCGAUGGAUAGGGGUUCUGAGAGGAAGGUCCCCCACAUUGGAACUGAGACACGGUCCAAAUUCCUACGGGAGGCAGCAGUGAGGAAUAUUGGUCAAUGGGCGAGAGCCUGAACCAGCCAAGUAGCGUGAAGGAUGACUGCCCUAUGGGUUGUAAACUUCUUUUAUAAAGGAAUAAAGUCGGGUAUGGAUACCCGUUUGCAUGUACUUUAUGAAUAAGGAUCGGCUAACUCCGUGCCAGCAGCCGCGGUAAUACGGAGGAUCCGAGCGUUAUCCGGAUUUAUUGGGUUUAAAGGGAGCGUAGAUGGAUGUUUAAGUCAGUUGUGAAAGUUUGCGGCUCAACCGUAAAAUUGCAGUUGAUACUGGAUAUCUUGAGUGCAGUUGAGGCAGGCGGAAUUCGUGGUGUAGCGGUGAAAUGCUUAGAUAUCACGAAGAACUCCGAUUGCGAAGGCAGCCUGCUAAGCUGCAACUGACAUUGAGGCUCGAAAGUGUGGGUAUCAAACAGGAUUAGAUACCCUGGUAGUCCACACGGUAAACGAUGAAUACUCGCUGUUUGCGAUAUACUGCAAGCGGCCAAGCGAAAGCGUUAAGUAUUCCACCUGGGGAGUACGCCGGCAACGGUGAAACUCAAAGGAAUUGACGGGGGCCCGCACAAGCGGAGGAACAUGUGGUUUAAUUCGAUGAUACGCGAGGAACCUUACCCAGGCUUAAAUUGCAGAUGAAUUACGGUGAAAGCCGUAAGCCGCAAGGCAUCUGUGAAGGUGCUGCAUGGUUGUCGUCAGCUCGUGCCGUGAGGUGUCGGCUUAAGUGCCAUAACGAGCGCAACCCUUGUUGUCAGUUACUAACAGGUUCCGCUGAGGACUCUGACAAGACUGCCAUCGUAAGAUGUGAGGAAGGUGGGGAUGACGUCAAAUCAGCACGGCCCUUACGUCCGGGGCUACACACGUGUUACAAUGGGGGGUACAGAGGGCCGCUACCACGCGAGUGGAUGCCAAUCCCAAAAACCUCUCUCAGUUCGGACUGGAGUCUGCAACCCGACUCCACGAAGCUGGAUUCGCUAGUAAUCGCGCAUCAGCCACGGCGCGGUGAAUACGUUCCCGGGCCUUGUACACACCGCCCGUCAAGCCAUGGGAGCCGGGGGUACCUGAAGUGCGUAACCGCGAGGAGCGCCCUAGGGUAAAACUGGUGACUGGGGCUAAGU